rnacentral:rRNA from 1 species
UCGAACGCCCUGGCAACAGGGAGUGGCAGACGGGUGAGUAACGCGUGGGAAUCUACCUUGUGGUACGGAACAACCAAGGGAAACUUUGGCUAAUACCGUAUGAGCCCUUCGGGGGAAAGAUUUAUCGCCAUAAGAUGAGCCCGCGUCGGAUUAGCUAGUUGGUGGGGUAAUGGCCUACCAAGGCGACGAUCCGUAGCUGGUCUGAGAGGAUGACCAGCCACACUGGGACUGAGACACGGCCCAGACUCCUACGGGAGGCAGCAGUGGGGAAUAUUGGACAAUGGGCGCAAGCCUGAUCCAGCCAUGCCGCGUGUGUGAUGAAGGCCUUAGGGUUGUAAAGCACUUUCGCCGAUGAAGAUAAUGACUGUAGUCGGAGAAGAAGCCCCGGCUAACUUCGUGCCAGCCGCCGCGGUAA